rnacentral:lncRNA from 1 species
UUAAGAAAGCAUAUAAAUGUAGUAGAAGAAAAGGGAAAGAUGUUAUAUGUUUAUACUUCUCCCCCUAAAUAUGACAGACAACAAAAAGAGGUAUGAAUUCCCCACCACCUUAAAGUAGAUGCUUAGAUAUAUUUACAUAUAAUAUCAAUGAACACCCUUAUAAAUUUAUGAAGUAAUAAGUGAAAACAAAAGAAAUCCACUGACAUUGUCCCCAAUUUUUAUAAAUUGCCAGUGUGUUUCUUAUUAUCUGCACCAAGCUUCCUGACUAAAAAGUGAUGAAAAGUGAUAUUGUCAUGAAAAAAUUUCACUAUGUAAAUUCUUUACUGGUUUAUGCUCCAGAAUCUGAUUCCCUUGUUUCUCUCCUGCUCCCUGUGCUCUGGGUGAUUAUCUCUAGAGAUGUUUAAGAGAAGCUGCAUAGGGUAGCACAUUAGCCUAUAAUAUCUUACUGCUAAUAUACACUUUUCCUCAUGAAAUACAAGAAGACAUGGUAGUGAGUGCUUUCUUUUUUGAGGCAAAUCAACAUCGAUAUUCAUUAAAUUGUUUUGAAAUAUUUUGUUUCUGUACUAGUAUCAUAAGACUUUGUGACCUUAACAGUGCUCUAAUUUAAGUCAUGUAUCAAUUUUAGUUGACUUCAAGUCUUAGAAUUUUAAGUACACAAUACAAUUGUCCUUUGUCUUGCAAAUUUUGAUUUGAAAAACAGUUUAUUCUGUAUUUGGUCUCUACACUUAGCAGAAAACUGAAUAACUUCUCUGAAAUUAUGAAAUGUAUUUCAUGUACCAUCCUACCAAAUUUAAUUCCCAUUCUGCAAUGAGGCUUAACAAAAUUAAACUUCAAACACAAUUUAAAUAUCUGUCUUCUAAUUGUAUGAAUUUGAAUACUAACCUUGAGUAGGUUGAGACAAGUUAGUUUUGGAAUAAAUUUUAAAUUUCAAGCCAUAUAUUCAUUUGUAAGUCUUUAAAAGUUGUUGGAAUCAGUCUAUACAAUUUUGAUCUUACGUGAAUCCCUAUACAGCAAGCAAAUUAAUUUUAUAUUUAAAAAAUUGUAUUUUCCUGGCUACUAGUACUUCACUCUAGCAUUUUCUGUCCAGAUGGGAUUUCUUUUUUUAACCAAAAAAAAAAAGAAAAAAGUCUGCACAUCACACUAAUUUAAAGUCAGCUUGAAGCUACUGUAUUCUAAAAUACAUUUAUCUGAAAAUGAAAAAAAUAAGUAUAAAAUAUUGUAUAAGAACUCAACUGGCCACACUUAAAUGUGCUAUUGUGAAUAUAAUUAAAGGCGACCUAGAAUGUCAUUUAGUACAAAAACAGUAAAACCUUAAAAUUAUUUAAAAUACAUGGGCUGGGGUUGUGUCUCAGAGGUAGAGAGCUCACCUGGCAUGCAUGAUGCACUGGGUUUGAUCCUCAGUAUCACAUAAAAAUAAAAUAAAGGUAUUGUGUUCACCUACAACUAAAAAAUAAAAUUUAAAAACUUAUUUAAAAUACAGAGUAUAUCUUUUUAUUUUAUUAUCUUCUUCACAUAAAGUUUGUAUAGAUAAAACAAGGCCCAUAUAAAUUUUUUAAAAUAAUAUAUAUAGAGUCUCAUAUUUUUAGAUUAAAUAAAUAUUAAAUAUUAAUAGUAGGAAACAUGGAAAAUGCAAAUUGCCAAAUUGAAUCAUGAACAAAAUUUUACUGAGUUUCAAAAGGUUGUUAAGGUUUUUUCACUCUCUUUCAUUUCCAUUCAUGCCUGCACUCCAUGGUUCUAGUACAUAACACAACAGAAAGAUAUUUUUCUUUCUUUUUUCGCUAAUGUGGGAAACUUUUGAGAUUUCAAAAGAUCAGUUCUCAAGAAAUUUCUGAUUCAGAGUUUCCAAUUCUCAUGGUUAAAAGUCCACACUUCUUGAGUGUUUUCCUAAUCAAAAUUUAGGUCAUUUCAGUCUCUUCUGUCAUUUGACCAUUAAAUAGAUCUUUUUAAAAUACUUAGUUUUUUUUGUUUUUUUUUUUUAUUGGAAUAGAAAACUUUAUAUCCUUUGCAAAUAAUUUAAGUGAGUCAAAAUAUUUUUAAAAUCUAUUUUUACAAAGGUAAUAGAGAGGUAUGUCAGACUCACUAGAGCACAGAAAGAAAAAUCAAAUAAUUUAAUCCUAUCAUUGAUGUUAUAUUCUUGGGAGCAGUUGGCCAAAAAUGUAACUUUUUAAUUUCUAAUAGUAGACUAUAAUAUUUUAUUAUCUACCAUAUAGUAGGAAACAUGCAGAAAUUAAUUUUAUGUUCUGAGUUCUUGAAGCAUUUAUUCAUUAAAUAACCCCUCAUUUGUCUUUUUGCGUAUGCAAAAUUUUAUAAAUUAAAUUCAUUUUCAUUAAAUUUAUUUGUAAAAUUACAAAAUUUAUUUAUAAUCAUUAAAUUGUGAAUAAAGAUACUAGAUAAUGUUACCUAUUAUCUAUAUAAACAAUUCUACUUUCACAUUUUAUAAGACAUGAAAGAGAAUCAUUAUCAUAGAAACUAUCAUAUGCAAAGUUGCUGUUCCAGUUAAGAUUAGCCAAUCUGGGGAUUAACUAAUCAAACUGCAUUCCAGCAAAUUCUAAUUUCUAUAUAUCCAUUUUCAUUUUACAUUUAAUACUUCAUGUGUAAAUUCUGUUCAAAUUUUUAAGGUAUAUUUAUAAUUUUGUAACUGGCACAACUGGUUUAUUGUACAUUUGGGUUGUUUCUACCUCUUGGUUAUUUAUAAAUACUGUUGCUAAGAAUAUGUUAUAUAAGUAUCUGAGCUUCUGAUUCAAUGAUUUGGGGUAUAUAAAUCCAUGGAUGAGGUUGUUGAGUCAUAUGGCAGUUCUGUUUUACUUAUUGAAAAACUCUUUUCUACAGUAGCUGCAUCCUUUAUUAUUCUCACUAGCAAUGUAGAAGGGACUCAGUUUCUCCACAUUUUCACCAACAUUUGUUUUGUUCCUAUUUCAUGACUAAUAUAGCAAGAAGGCAUCAAUCAAAAGCAUUAAUAUAAUAAAUAUUUGAAGAAAUUACCAAAAACUUACCUUCUUCAUUUCUUUGUUCAAAUGUUACCUUCUCUGUAAGGUCUUCUUAAUCACCCUACUUAAUACUGCAAUUUCUCUACCCCAUCAUCUAUCUUCUCUAUCCUUCUUAUUUCUCUCUUUAGCAUUUAUAACCAUCUAUAUAUACUAUAUGUCUAUUCAUUUUGUUUCUCAUCCCCAAAAUAUUCGAAUGUUAGCUUCUCAGGUGAGAGGCCUGAUCAGUUUUGUUCACUGACAAAUCUUCCACGGCAGCUCACUUCUUAGCCCAUAUUGUAAUGUACCAGUAUUUGCCUAAAUUAAUAUAAAAAGUGAAAUAAGCAGAUAACUUAAAUUUCUGUUACAGAAAUUGAAAGGCGCCCCUUGGGUCUAGAAAAAAGUUAAAAUGACAUCGUAACUGAUAAUAAACUCGGUAUCUUAUGAGAUGGUACGUGAUAAAAAUACACUGAUUAAAGAGGGUUGGAUGGGUAUAGAUUUAUAACAUAUUUCAUUUGGUUGCCUGUUUACUAUUCCACAUGUUCCCAUGUUCUAUUAUUAGUGUUAUAGUAGCUACUGAAUGUAUAUUUCUUUUAAAACUUGAUUAAUCCUUCACUUUUAUUUUGAUAUAGUUUGGCAUUUUUUUUUUAUUUAUUUGUAACAUCUUUUAUAUGUGAAGAAUGUUUUUCCUUUGGCCUUAUGACAAGUGUUUUUUAGUCUAGAUUUUUCUUUUCAUAGAAUUUGGCAUUUUGUAUGUGGUCAAAUUGAUUUCUUUCUCUAUAACUUCUGCUGUUUGCAGCAUGCUGUGCCUAUCCUAGGUUGCUAUAAAUAUUAAUUCCUUCUAAAAAUUUUACAAUAAAAUUUUAAAAGGGCUAUAUGGAUUUAUGAAUGAGUUUUAUAUAAAAAUAAAGGUUUACCAAAAUAAAUUCUCUAGUAGACAUCAAAGCAGAUAACCCUAUAUUUCCAUUGUUCAACCUUAAUUGAAAUAUCUCAAAUGCAACAACACAUCUGAUUAUUGCAGACUUCUUUGUCCUACAGAAAUUUUUUCAGUUUCCUAAAUUAUUAUUAUUAUUUAAAUCAACUGCCUUGGUACAACCCUGGAACUCAAGUUGUGAUGUUGCACUUUUAACAUCCCUGUGAGCAUAGUGAAAUUAAGCAGCAAAGGAGAAACAUGAAAGGUCUGAGGUAUUCAACAUAGUCCACUAAAAAGCAAAGUUCCCUUUGGAUUGGGCAAAGGGGUGGGGUGGGGGGCCAUAGGGAAGGGACAUGUGGGUAGCAAAGGUGGUUGAAUGAGAACAUCAUUACACUAGGUACAUGUAUAAUUUCACAACUAAGGCAACUCUACACUAUGUACAAGCAGAGAAAUGAAAAGUUGUGCUCCAUUUGUGUAAAUGAAAUAAAAUGCAUUCUGCUGUCAUGUAGAACUAAUUAGAAAAAAAAAUUAAAGUUAUUAUUAAAAAAAUGAAAAAAGAAAAAAAGCAAAAUUCCAAUAACACCCCUGUGUUUUUCCUAUUGUAAGCAGCAUUAGGAAAUUCUGCCACAACUAAAAUUGAAGGUACUUGAUUUAAUAAACUAUUCCCCAAAACUUAUGAAACAAAGAAAUUAGUUUUCUUAAACACUAAAUAAAACCCAAGCAAAUAUGAAAUUUCAGAUAGAUAGGUGAAAUGCAUAUAUAGAGAGUGAGGUUACAAAAUAUCACUUGAAAAGGUCAGAAGAGACCUAAAGUCAGCCAAAAGCUACUGCUCACUAGAAGACUGUAUUUGAUGAAAUAUCCAAAAUUCAUUAAUUCCCACCACUUAAUAUGUUUUGAACAAAAGAAAGCAAAUAAACCCAAUGGAAGUAAUAAAAUUGCCUUGCUAUAAUGAUCACUAUUUUUUUUAAAAAAAUGGCAAAUUUAUAGUUAAAUGGGUUUUGCUUAAUGGAAAAAUAUCCAUUGUGGAUUUCCUUCUAUCAGAAAAGGACCUUGAGUCUCUGACUAAAUUUAAAACUCUAUUGUAUAAUCUUCUGCCUUUAAGAAACUUAUAAACAAUUUGAAAAGAUUAAAUAUUUGCAAAUAAACAAAAAUCUAACCAAAUUCCCAAGCCCAUAGCAGGUAUGCUAAGAAGUUAAGAAACUCAUUUUAAGUGACCCAUCAAGUUAAGGAUCACUUUAACUCUCCACUGCUUUCACAGAGAAGAUUGCAGGGCCUCAGGCAUGUUAAGCCAGAGCUCUUCCACCCAGCCCUAAAUCUAACUUUAGAAGAAAGGAGUUUAAGUAGGGUGGAAAACAUGUUCUCAGUUGAAUAAAAGGAUGAGAACCUCAGGCAAGGUGGUAUGCCACUAUAAUCCUAGCUAUCAGAGACUGAAGCAGGAGGAUCUCAAAUUCAAGGUCAGCCUGGACAACUUAGGAGACCCUCUCUGAAAGCAAAAAAUAAAAAGGAAUAGGGAUGUAGCUCAGUAGUAGAAUGCUUGUCUAGAAUGCAGGACCCCCGAUUCAAUUACCACCACCACAACAAAAAGGUAAGAACCAAAUUUUAGACAAAAUAAAUGACAAGGCAUAAUUCAGGAAACCAUACAAGCUAUGAAGAGCAAUGAUCAUUUAUUGAGCACACAUGUGUCAGGCAGUGUUUUUUUUUGCCUACAGUAUAUAAUGUGAUCUUCAAAACAAUUAAGUUUUAUUUUAUUAAUCUUACUUCAUGGAGUUUAAGUAAUCUGCUCAAGGUUAAACUACUAGGAAGUAGCAGAGCUGAAAUUCAAAUUCAGGUGUUGUUCAUUUCAGAGUUUAGCCUCUUAACUAAUACACAAUACCAUAAACCAUGCUUGUCAGGAAAGGGAAGUUAAGGAGUAGAAUGAUAAAAGUUUGAAAAUGGACAUGAGACCAUAACCUUCCAAACAGCAAAGUCAAGUCAUUUUAUGGCACAUCAUGGCACUGAAUAUUUCUUAAACAAUUCUGAAAAAUAGGCCAUGAAGAAUUCUGAGAGUCUGAUCCAGUGAAACAAGACUCUUGACCUAUUUGUAAAAAUCUAAAGAACCUCUUUUAUGAAGGAUUCUAUUAAGCCAUAUUUUUUUAAAGUUUAAGCAAAAAUUACUCAAAUUUGUAAAUUCAUAUAGUAAGAACACAUUCCCUAUUUGAGAUUUUUCCUCUUUAUGUCCAAAAUAAAUAACAAUUUAGUAUUUAUUCUAACAAUUUAAUCUCUAAAUCCAAACCUCAAUUUAAGACUUUAAAGUAUUUUAACACUUUCUGGUCAUGUGAAUUAUGUUUUCAAUACAUGCAUUUUCUGAUCUAUUUUAUGGGCCAGCACACUUAUCAGCAAAUCAGAAAUACAGUUAAAUCAAAAAGUAAGUUACUUAGAUCCCUUCCCCCUUAAAAAAAAUAAAAAAAAAAGUUUUUCUUCACAAACCAAAAGCAAAAGCAAUGUAAUAGAGUAUAUACUGUCUACUAAUGUAUAUCAAAUAACAUUACAAUUUAAUAAAACUAUAAAUAAGAAAGUUUUAGGCAAAAAUGCCUAAUGUUAUUCCUCUAGCUUUAUUGUUCUCCAAGGUCGUUUGGGCUAUUCAGAGCCCUGUGAUAUUCCAAAAGAAUUUUAAGAUUUGUUUUUCUGUUUCUACCCAAAACAACAAUAAUAACAACAACAGAACAUGACAUUGGGAUUUUCAUAGUAAUUGCAUUAAAUCUGUGAAUUGCUUUGGAUAUAUUUGAUAACAAUGUUGUCCUCCAAUUCUUCAACAGUAAUAUUUCCUUUUAAUAUGUUUCCUUUAAUUUCUUUUAGCACUGUUUUAUAAUUUUCAUUAUGUAAGUCUUUAACUUCAUUGAUUACUUCCUAAAAAUGUUUUAUUAUUUAUGAUGCUAUUGUAAAUGGAAUUAUUUUCUUAAUUUUGUUUUCUGAUUGUUCAUUGUUAUUU